AUACUACUCCCUCCGUCCCAAAAUAAGUGUCUCAACUUUGUACUAGCUCUAGUACAAAGUUCUAUUAAGCUUGAGACACUUAUUUUGGGACGGAGGGAGUAUUUA
rfam:Hordeum vulgare subsp. vulgare, WGS project CAJW01000000 data, contig: morex_contig_90115